GGAAGGGAAGGGAAGGGAAGGGAAGGGAAGGGAAGGGAAGGGAAGGGAAGGGAAGGGAAGGGAAGGGAAAUCUGCAGACAGUAGACAAGCUAGAUGAAGAGGAUAAGUGGGAGAGACUAGGCUGAAAAGAGGAAUUUGAAAGGACUUUAGAAUGGUACCAAAAUUAUCAUAGAAUGGAAACAGCAGCAGGCGAAAUCUAAAUUUCAUUUUUUCUCAUUUUCUCUGACUAUGAAAUAGUAGUACCUAUAUCCUUCCAUGAAAUUUUAUAGGGCAAUUGUGCUUUAAGUGCAAUACAUAAAUCUUCUACCUGAUCUGGGAAAUAGUUUCAAACUGAAAAAAAAGGGAGAUUUAGAUUGGAUUUAAGAAAGGCAUUUUUUACAAUAAAGGUGGUGAGGCACUAGAACAGGUAUGCCAGGGCAGUGGUGGAAGCCCUGUCCCUGCAGACAUAUGAAGUCAGGCUGAAUGGGGCUCUGAGCACCUGAUCUAGCUGUAAGUGUCCCUCUUGAUGGCAUGGGAGUUGGACAAGAUAACCUUCAAGGGUCCCUUCCCUUUCAAACAAUUCUAUGAUUUUAUGAUUCUGUAGAAAUAAAUUAUUUGCCUUUAUAUAAACUCUGCUUUAAUUGAAUGGUUUUGACCUCACAUAUUUGCACUUCCAUCAUGAGUGAUAUGUGGAGAAGACAGAAGCUAAGAAGGAAUGAGAUUGACCAAAGCCCAGCCUUGGUACAGUGGCUUCCAUAGACGUGCAUUUGUGCAAAUGAAUUCAGGGCUAGGUCUUCUACAUGUGAGUCAUACCAUUUGCCCCAAAUUAUGCAGGUGAAGCUGCACAUGCUCAGAGGGGACUCUGAAGCUGUGGGCUUUGGGUUCUCAUUUAGUUUAAUUUAGGUCAUUGGUGGAAGUCAUUUACAACUGUCAACCAUUGAGAUCUGUGUGAAAGCCACCCCACAAUGUGACAUUGUUAGUUAUUUCUUCUAAGAGGUAAAGUCUUAUUAAAACAGCAGGAAUGCUGCAGUGUAAUCAGAUGUGGAGUGCCCCUUGCUGGUGUAGUGUCAGCAGACUUGCUCUGUGCUAUGCCAGACAGAGCUCUGCCUUCCUUGUCUGGUCUGGUGUCAUUUCUCUCUGCAUGAAGCCUUGUGUCUAGCUGAGGGAUUGCUGACAUCAGAGCACUCAGGAAAGUUAAGUUAAAACACAGUAAACCCCUGUGUGGAUGCUUUCUCUUAGAAGCAAAGGAUGAUCCUGUUCCCUGCAGUUUAAUCUGUGAGCUUGAAGCCACAGUGCUUCAUCCCGAAAGGGUCCCAAAAAAAUGUCAUUUCUUGGCUCAAUUAGCCUUACAUUUUGGAGGCUGUCACCCUCUAAGUGUUUAAGCAGUAACAUUAAAAUGAGGAUUUCCUACCUAUUGUUCCUACCUAAUUCUUUCUGGCCAAGGCCUCUGUGACAUAUGAACAGCUGGAGCAGAUAUGACACAUCUGUGCCUCCCAAACCCCAACCUAGGAAGGGCCAUGAACUGCACUUCCCUUUGUUUCAGAUCUGCUUGUGCAAGGGCUAAGUAAAACAUGAGGGAAAAGCCUUAUCCAUGUUCUUGUCAAAUUUUUCAGAAUAAAAAAAAAAAAAAAAAAAAAAGACCCUGAAAGAACAAUUUCACAUUCCAGAAAAAUCAGAAGAAAAAUGCAGGAGAAUUUAACCUUCCAAGAGCUCCAUUCUGUUCUGACCAGACUGCUUGUGGUAGAAAAGCUUGUUUACAGUUAGCUUGGGUUUCUCUGUAUAACACCAUAGACUGCAGCAUACUUACAUCAAGAGCAAUUACUGAAAAAACGAUGUCCUCAAGCAUACCUCUAAAUAGAUGUUUACUUGGUUUUGUCCUUUUUUUUUUUUUUUUUUUUGCUUGUGGUUUCCUAGUUUGGACUACCUCCUUUGGUCUUUGGAAAGUUAGCUUACAUUCUGGGUACGAACACUUCCAGUUUGAGUAAUGAAAGUAAGCAAGGUGGAACACAAUUCCUGAUCCCUGCCUACCUCAAAAACAUGGUGAGCAUUGAGGUGUACCCUCCUUCAGAGCACUGAGCUGCCUCACUUGAAGAAACUUCCUGCUCUGCUGGAGUCCAGGGACUUGCUGCGCAAUGUGCCAGGCUCUGCCUGUGUGCUGCAUAAGAGAGCCAAGAGAGAACUGAACAGUCUUUUACUCUGCUCAGAAUUCAGAGCACUUUCCUAAAUCUCACCCAAAAUAAAGGUAACACCAUCAAUAGGUAACAUCACCAUUCCUAGGUAACAUCAGCAGUAUUGUCCAUCUGCAACAGAGCAACAUGUUGGUCCUACCUAAUCAAAGACACAGGUACAUUUUUCUACUGUCUCCAACUAUUUCUGACCUCCUCAGGAAUAAAAAGACUCAGAAAUGAUCACCUCUCUGCAUAAAAUCCUGAAGUCAAACAUGAAUAAAAUGGAUAAAACUCACCAUUCUGAAUACUAUACAGGACUUCUGAUAUGGGAGUUGUCUAAAUGAAAUGGAGGACUGGAGGGAAGUAUGAAGUGUACAAGGAACCUUCCUACAUUGGCACAGCCCCUUCUUGACCUGGUUGUCUGGUAUUUGUAAAUGUUUUCAAUCAACUCUCUAUGCCCGUAUUACCUCGCUUCAAUUUUGUUCUGAGCAGCCAUACAUCUGUGCACCACAGCAUGCUGAAGACCAAAUAUCUCUAAUUAGGAACAUAACACUUUUAAUAUGUUCCACAUGGGAUCAUCACAAAUAGAGUUUACUGCCACCACAGC
rnacentral:lncRNA from 1 species